ACAGAAGUAUUUCCAAUUUUUCCCUAAAUUAUUAUUAUUAUUUUUUGCACAUAAAGGGUUUAUUUUAAAUGUUUUAAGGAUAGGAUAGAGUUACAUAAUAAUUAUAAAAAUUACUUACAGAAUUAACAGAUUUAUAUUGUUUAUACUUCUAAAUGCAGAGAACAGGGAACUGUCUACACAUCGUAUAAAAUAAAAUUAAAAUUAAAAAUGAAUUCAAGCCUGAAAAUGAGGUAAUUUACCUAAUUGCAAGAUGCGAACACGACGACCCCUGAACUAUACACAUCUGCUCACACUGAACUAAUGGUGGAAAUACAAAAAGCACAGCAUUUCCUAGGAACCACAGAUAUUUCGACCAUAAUUAUUUUGUUAUAAUAAUUGUUCCUGUUUUGUCUUUGGAGAACUUUCUUUUCUUUCCUUUUCUUUUCUUUUUUCUUUUAAGACAAUCAGCUUAAGAAUGUUUUCAGGCACUACAAUUUGUGACAAUCAGAACAGUCCUCUAAUGGGUCCACAGCGUUCAGAGAUUCAAGCCCAAUGCACUUUGGGGUUUGGCACGUAAAACAAGGACAGAAAUAAACUCUGGUUUAGAAGUAACUGUGAGGCUUCGAGAAUGCACAGUCGCUUCAAAUGCUGCACAACAGAGCUGGGAAGUCACCUGCUGCUGGCACUGCAUGGCUUCGCCAGUGCACUUUCAUCCUACGACCACUAAAACGGCACAGGAAGCAAAUAUACAGAAAACUGAAAACAAAUAAAAACAAAGAUAGAAAACAAAAAAAGCUAAAUAUCUUUCACAUGCAAGUUCAGUUAGUUACAUUGAACAUCCUACUUAGAAUAGCAUGCAAAAAAGGAUGGUCUGCAUCUAAGGUUCUCCUCGGAAGCUUCACGUGGCAGCCGGAUGUCACUCGUACAUGAAACCAGAACAGUAGAGCAGGUCAGUGAGGAAGGCUGGGACAUUUUAUACAGGUUCAGGUCCUGUACGGUCACAAGUCCCAUGAUAAUUUUGGAAACUUAUGUUGGGCUCCUAGAACAAGGAACCAACAUUCUGAUAGCAGGAAAAGGCAAGCAAUGCAUACAGAUCUGAAACGUGAGCCUAGAACGAAGCCUGAAAUACCGGGCGAGGGAGUGCAGUCAGUCAUUGCACAAGUGUGGGCUGAGCCACCAAAAGUAAAGAGAAUAGGGGGAAUAAAGAACACAACAACAACA
rnacentral:lncRNA from 12 species